UACGUAGGGAGCAAGCGUUGUCCGGAAUCAUUGGGCGUAAAGCGCGCGUAGGUGGCUUCAUAAGUCCGUUGUGAAAGUCAAAGGCUCAACCUUUGAAAGCCGAUGGAUACUGUGGAGCUAGAGUACGGAAGAGGCGAGUGGAAUUCCUGGUGUAGCGGUGGAAUGCGCAGAUAUCAGGAGGAACACCAAUGGCGAAGGCAGCUCGCUGGGACGUGACUGACGCUGAGACGCGAAAGCGUGGGGAGCAAACAGG
rnacentral:rRNA from 1 species